rnacentral:lncRNA from 1 species
CAGUUAGUGACGAGUCUGGCCAGUCUGAUCCUGUCCUGUACUGAUAGAUGGGCUGAGAGUAA